UACGGAGGGUGCAAACGUUGCUCGGAAUCAUUGGGCGUAAAGCGCAAGUAGGCGGCGUUGCAAGUUGGGUGUGAAAGCCAAGGGCUCAACCCUGGAAGUGCACCCAAAACUGCGAGGCUUGAGUCCCGGAGGGGCCCAGAGAAUUCUCGGUGUAGAGGUGAAAUUCGUAGAUAUCGGGAGGAAUACCAGUGGCGAAGGCGCUGGGCUGGACGGGUACUGACGCUGAGGUGCGAAAGCGUGGGGAGCAAACAGG
rnacentral:misc_RNA from 1 species